AUGCCCAUUGCACAGCUUGAGAAAAGGCUCCUCUAACAGUAGAUGGGUGUUGUAGGAGAGGGCGAACAGGUUACAGAGGAGGCAAUUUUACGUUUUGUGUCCCUGUUUGAGGGAAGGCUGCUAGACAUAACGAUCGCGGUGCUACGUGCCCUGUUCAAGCUGGACUGUGACUUGGCGGCGGCGGUGGAGGAUGCCUUGCUGCAACAUGGGGGAGAAGGUUGCCCCGAGAUGCCAUCCGCCGCAGGCGAGGAUGCCUUGGAGACGACCUGA
rnacentral:rRNA from 1 species